UAGGGAAUCUUCCACAAUGGGCGAAAGCCUGGUGGAGCAACGCCGCGUGUGUGAUGAAGGGUUUCGGCUCGUAAAACACUGUUGUAAGAGAAAAAUGACAUUGAGAGUAACUGUUCAAUGUGUGACGGUAUCUUACCAGAAAGGAACGGCUAAAUACGUGCCAC
rnacentral:rRNA from 1 species